CCUACGGGUGGCAGCAGUGAGGAAUAUUGGUCAAUGGACGAGAGUCUGAACCAGCCAAGUAGCGUGAAGGAUGAUUGCCCUAUGGGUUGUAAACUUCUUUUAUAUGGGAAUAAAACGUUCCACGUGUGGGAUUUUGUAUGUACCAUAUGAAUAAGGAUCGGCUAACUCCGUGCCAGCAGCCGCGGUAAUACGGAGGAUCCGAGCGUUAUCCGGAUUUAUUGGGUUUAAAGGGAGCGUAGGUGGAUUGUUAAGUCAGUUGUGAAAGUUUGCGGCUCAACCGUAAAAUUGCAGUUGAAACUGGCAGUCUUGAGUACAGUAGAGGUGGGCGGAAUUCGUGGUGUAGCGGUGAAAUGCUUAGAUAUCACGAAGAACUCCGAUUGCGAAGGCAGUUCACUGGACUGCAACUGACACUGAGGCUCGAAAGUGUGGGUAUCAAACAGGAUUAGAUACCCCUGUAGUC
rnacentral:rRNA from 1 species